rnacentral:lncRNA from 1 species
GAAGAAAAGUUUAGGGUUCCAUAUACACCAAGCUUGAAAAUCAAAGGUAAGCUUAGAAAGGUGUAGGAAAUAACAUCUACUCAUUUCUUCAUGCAUGAAUUUGAAUUAUAAAGCUUUAAUUUAUAGUUUAUUCAAUCCUUUCCUAAGACAUAAAUUGACCUAGGUGAAGGAACAUCAAAGAGAAAGGAGAUAGCUAGAGAAUAGAAGAGGAAAAGAAAGGAGAAAUUCAAGAAAGGUUUGGUG